rnacentral:rRNA from 1 species
AUUGAACGCUGGCGGCAGGCCUAACACAUGCAAGUCGAACGAGUGGCGGACGGGUGAGUAAUGUCUGGGAAACUGCCCGAUGGCGGGGGAUAACUACUGGAAACGGUAGCUAAUAUCGCACACCAUCAGAUGUGCCCAGAUGGGAUUAUCUAGUGGGUGAGGUAACGGCGCACCAAGGCGACGAUCCCUAGAUGGUCUGAGAGGAUGACCAGCCACACUGGAACUGAGACACGGUCCAGACUCCGACGGGAGGCAGCAGUGGGGAAUAUUGCACAAUGGGCGCAAGCCUGAUGCAGCCAUGCCGCGUGUAUGAAGAAGGCCUUCGGGUUGUAAAGUACUUUCAGCGGGGAGGCGUUACCCGCAGAAGAAGCACCGGCUAACUCCGUGCCAGCAGCCGCGGGAAUUC